rnacentral:rRNA from 1 species
GGCUCAGGAUGAACGCUAGCGGCAGGCUUAACACAUGCAAGUCGAGGGGCAGCGCGGGGAGCAAUCCCUGGCGGCGACCGGCGGAAGGGUGCGUAACGCGUGAGCAACUUGCCCGUAUCUGGGACAUAACCGGUGGAAACGCCGACUAAUUUCCCAUAACAACAGAGAUCACAUGUCUUUGUUUGAAAGCUUCGGUGGAUACGGAUAGGCUCGCGUGACAUUAGCUAGUUGGAGUGGUAACGGCACACCAAGGCGGCGAUGUCUAGGGGUUCUGAGAGGAAGGUCCCCCACACUGGAACUGAGACACGGUCCAGACUCCUACGGGAGGCAGCAGUGAGGAAUAUUGGUCAAUGGGCGGAAGCCUGAACCAGCCAUGCCGCGUGCAGGAAUAAGGCCCUUAAUGGGUCGUAAACUGCUUUUGUGGUGGAGCAAUAAGAGCUACGUGUAGUUCGAUGAGAGUACAUCACGAAUAAGCAUCGGCUAACUCCGUGCCAGCAGCUGC